GCAUAAAAUAUUUGAAUUUUACUAUUUCGAUGACCCGGUCGUUAUAGAUGGGUAUUUACUCUCUAGACCCAGCCUAAGCAGAAUCAUCCAUGAAAAUUUUAAUUCAUGAUGAAAAUAAUGGCCUGCUCUGGCCUUCUCUUCUUCUUUUCUGUCAUGGUCAUGCAAUAUUUUCUUCUAACCACCGCCCAACCUACGUACACAUUUCAUUCUUGUAACAACACAGCAAAUUACACUUCCAAUAGUUCUUUCUCAGUAAAUCUAAACCUUUCCUUCUCUUACUUAAACGCUAAUGCGUAUACCAAUAGGUUUUACAAUACCAGCACCGGCCAGCUUCCGGACAAGGCGUACAGUCUCUUUCUAUGCAGAGCAGACAUCUCCCCAGAGUUAUGCCAGAACUGCAUUAUGGACGCCAGCGAAAUAAUAAGGGACCGUUGUCCAAAUCAGGAAGAAGCUUUUAUAAUGUACGAUGAGUGUAUGUUACGGUACUCAAAUCGAUCUAUAUUCUCAGUUAUGGAGAUCAUUCCACCAUGCAUUUUCUUUAGCCAGUACAAUAUUAGUGCAGACUCAGGUCGAUUUAAUUCGACUUUGGCGGGUUUGAUGGAUGGCCUUGUUGCGAAAGCUAAUUCUUCUAGCGAUUUGUUUGCUACUGGAGAUGUGAAUUAUACAUCCUUGAGCAGGAUAUAUGGUCUGGCGCAGUGCACCCCAGACAUUUCUCCAGUUGAGUGCAACAAUUGCUUACAUGUGUCUGUUACUGCUAUGCUGUCUCUCUUUCAUGGAAAGCAAGGAGGAAGAGUUUUCAGGCCAAGCUGUAAUAUUAGGUACGAAAUAUAUCCUUUCUACCAGCCCAGGGCCGCUACACCAGCUGAUCAAUCUCCUCCAGCAAGUUCCACAUCCUCAUUACCAGACAACAAAGGAAAUGAGAGAAACACUUCAAAUGUUGUCAUCAUUGUUGUUCCGACAACUGUUAUUGUGAUCCUACUAAUUGUCAGUAUUUGCAUCUUUUUAAAAAUGAGGAAGCCAAAGGAUAAUUUUCAGACUGCGGGUGAAAUAACAAAUGUUGAAUCCGUGCAAUUCGAUUUCAGCACUAUUAGAUCAGCCACAGACAACUUUUCUGACGAAAACAAGCUUGGGAAAGGUGGAUUUGGGGAAGUUUACAGGGGUAGGCUUUCUAAUGGACAAGAGAUAGCUGUGAAAAGACUAUCAAGAAACUCUGGACAAGGAGAUGUGGAAUUUAAGAAUGAGGUCCUGCUAGUGGCCAAGCUUCAACACCGAAAUUUAGUUAGGCUACUUGGUUUUUGCUUGGAAGGAAAUGAAAGACUUCUUAUCUAUGAGUUUGUCCCCAAUACAAGCCUUGAUCACUAUAUAUUUGAUCCCAUGAAGCGUGCGGACUUAGAUUGGGAAAGGCGGUAUAAAAUUAUAGCUGGUAUUGCUCGAGGGGUUUUAUACCUUCACGAGGAUUCCCGACUUCGGAUUAUUCAUCGUGACCUCAAAGCUGGCAACAUUCUAUUAGAUGCAAAAAUGAAUCCUAAAAUUUCAGAUUUCGGCCUGGCAAGAUUAUUCAUAUUGGAUCAAACUGAAGGCAGUACAAAUAGAAUAGUUGGGACCUAUGGAUACAUGGCUCCAGAAUAUGCAAUGUUUGGGCAAUUCUCGACAAAGUCAGAUGUCUUCAGCUUUGGUGUCCUAACAUUGGAGAUUGUAAGUGGUCAGAAAAUUACUAGUUUUCGUGACAUUGAGAAUACGGAGUACUUACUCAGCAUGGAGAAAUUGGAGGGAGGGGACAGCUUCAAAUCUCAUAGAUCCUACAUUAAAGAAAGGGGGUGGUCCAAAAGCUGAAAUGAUGAGAUGUAUUCACAUCAGUCUACUAUGUGUUCAACAAAAUGUAGCUUACCGACCAGACAUGGCUUCAGUUGUUCUCAUGCUUAAUAGUGAUUCUAUCGCUCUAUCUUUACCUACACAACCUCCAAGCUUUAUGGAGAGCAAUGUUCAGUCAGCCACAUUAGUGCAACUGGACAUCAAUGAUUUUUCGCCAAAGGAGAAGAAUUCGAAGAAAAUCCCUAGAAAUUUUUAGAAGAUAAUCAGAUUUAAACACUCGACAAAAAACAACCUCAGAAAAAAUAUUAUGGAAAACUCAUUUCCCCAAGCACACGUAAAGCUUCUCCAUCAAACGUUUAGUCUCUGCAACUCAUUUCUGCUUACAAGACUGAGAAUCCUAAACCCUUCAUUGAUGAGAGGGUGAGCUGGUUCGGACCCAUCUUCAACGUUUUCUGCGAACUGACCGUGUUCUCCGCCGACCCAGAAUGACCUGACUGAAGCUUCAAGCGUAGUUCCGAGAUACAUAUUGUAUUAAGAUUGCAGUGAUUGUUGAUUCACACUUACAACCGCAACACUGUUUGAGGAAAAUCUAUGAAAGAAAGUGCUACAGGAGGGACAUCACAAGAAAUUUCCACAAUUAACAAGUAUUACCAUUCCAAUAGUAGACUUGGAAGACAAAAAUGUGCGGUGCUUCGUGCGUGACAAACCGAAAUCACAGACGUGCAAAGAGAAACAAGAUAUUAAAAAAAAAUAAUCAAUUGACUUUUCUCAUCAAACAAUAUGUCAGUCCCUCUAUUUAAUAAACGAAACAAUGAGCAUAGUCAUGGAAUUUUGCUCUUUGAGUGCCAGAACUUGGUUUGAGCAAAGCUUAACAGUUCAUUUUUUUAUCAACAAGGAGAUUUGGAGACUUAACAACCCAGUUUUUCAGCCAAGUUGUUGUUUAUCCACCGAAAAGCACCAGAUUGGGAUACAUACGACAGACACCAAACAAGAAAAUAGCAACUGGACGAACUGAAUACCAAAACAG